UGUAACAGUGUGACUUCGGGAACACGGACUGCGUGUUUCAGUGACGGCCACGGAGACUGAGUGCUUCUAAUACAGGUAGGUAAGGAGUGAUACUAUCAAUAAGUACAACAUUUAUAGUCUGCUAAUGCUUUUGGGAUAAGCAGUCUGGCGUACACGAAGGCUACCUGUCACGCUUGAAAUAAAUCCAGACUAAAAAUAUUAACAUGCAGCAAGUACUGAACUAAAAGCCUCCCUUCUUGCUCACAGACACAGGAGUGCAGACAAACAGGGUUUUACUGUUGCUAUGUGUGUCUGUCAGCUGGGAAAUGUCAGGUAAGUGUCUGUUACUGAAGGCUUUGGAACUGUCAGAAUCAAGAUUUACCUAGAGACUACAGAAUGCAUAUUUGCCUGCUACAUUCUUUAAAGAAUUAAAUGCUGGAUCGUUACUGCAUAUUACCCGCCAUGAAGUGGUUAGUACAGGGUAGUACAAUUCCAAUGACGUGACCAAGGUGGAUGAUCAAGGGAGGAGUCAGCGACGGCGGACAGGCGCAGCGCUGGAAAUAAGGUAUGUUUUAAUCCCUUAUAAGGGGGCAAAGGGGUGUGGGGAGAGGUGGGGGCAAAACAUCAAUGAAUCAAUGCAUCUCUAUGAGGAAAAUUCAGCGUCUCCAUGCAGAGCGUGGGGAUGCUGAACAGCAGUGCUGCUUAUUGUGCAGCCCUGAGCCAGGAAAUCUAAGGAGUGGCCACUUGGAGGUGUCCCUAGGGGCAAUGUAAACACUGCCUUUUCUCUGAAAAGGCAGUGUUUACAUGAAAAUGCCUGAAGGGAGCCAAUAUUCUCACCAGAACAACUACAUUAAGCUUUAGUUGUUCUGGUGACUAUAGUGUCUCUUUAAGUUUCAAUGAAAAUGCAAGUAAUAUAUAAUGACUGCACUCCAACAUUUCGAAGGAGAGCUAUGCCUGUCUUCAAGACACGGCUAACAGCAGAUGUUAUUAAGGAUAUCCAGACAUAAGCACAGGAGAUAAUACCAAUGGCUUCUUGUCCACGGAUUCAUGCUGCUGUAGUUUGCUAGAGAAUAAAUAAGUUUGCUCCUAGAAAGUGCACUAAGCCAAUUUGAAUAGAAAGGGACAACGGCUCAUGUAGUCCUGAAUCAGGAAACAACUCAGACAACUAAUGCUUGCCAAUAAUCCUGCUUUUGGGUCUCUGACCUAUUCUGGACAGGAUGCAUUAACAUAACAGCUCCUAAAGUAAUUAUUUAUCUUUAUGAUAAAUGAUAUAUUCUAUGCGGUUUGAGCAGCAAUAAACUAUGAAAUAGUACUGGAAGUCGCAAAGUGUUCUAUGUCAAUAUGAACACGGACCCAGAAGGAAUGCACUUCACAAAAUCAAAGAAAUACAUUUAUUGUGCAGAGGUGAUAAUGAGAAAUCUUAGCGGACUGCCAGGUUUAUUGUACUUUGGAUAUGAUAUGAAACUUUGAUACAAUAUUAAGAAAUACUAUUUAAAAAACAACUAUUUUAAUUAAACUGAGAGUCUUGAAGAAAAUACUGCUCUAAGAUAAGAAUAUUGAAUCGCUGAAAUUUAGGGAUAAAUUGGCUCAGAUAAAUGUCACUUGUUAGGAAACCUUAACAUUACAGAGUGGACCGUCUAUUUUGGAACAUUAACUGAAGAUGUAGUUUGUGUUUUAGGACAGGGAAGGGCAAGCUGUGUACAUCUAGAGAGAGCAUUCACAUGUGUCCUUGGGGUGUUUUGCAUAUGUUAAAUGUUACACCCUUAUUGUGCUGUAAUUGUAAUAUUAACAAUAUGGUAUUGUUUGGAUGUCUAAGAUAACUGGGGGGGAAAACGAAUCUAAAUAAACAAAAAUAAGAUUGCUUUUUUAUCGUAUUUAUAUUGUGUUCUAGAUUCAACUCUAAAAUGGUAACGCAAAGAGUACAAAGCAUUUUAUUCAUUAACCCCAUAAGAACAUUUUUGAUGGCAGCCUACGAAUUUUAAUUACCACCAGGUCCAGGCAUCUCAAACUCUACCCGUGCCCAAGUUUCUAAACUACAAAUCCAAUGAUUCUAGUGCACUGAAGAAAUAUUAGAACUGUAGGACAUCAGGGGGUGGGGAAAGGGAGUUUGAGAUCCCUGAUCUAGUCCUUAAAGUUCCUAAGCUAGAAUGAAAUGUCAUGCUUAUUUAGUCCUGGUAGCUCUAUGCAGUCCAUCAGUCACUAAAUGGCAGGUCAUUACGUUUUGAAAUGGAACCCCUAAAGAGCAGAUUGUUGGGACGGUCAAUGGCCCUUUUGGGAAUUAAAGAAGAUCUGUCAUGCAUAUUUAGUAAACUCCUAUGUGUAUUAGUUACAUUUGUACAUGACAAAUACAUUUUUGUUUUUAAAUUAAUGUGGGUAUGGGAUUCUUUUUAUUCGUCUUCAAAAUCUUGAAAAAGCUGCUUAUUGUAAGAUAACUUUCAGGUCUUUGAGUUCAGUGAGGUUUAUGAACAAAGCAUACUAGGAAAAUCUUCAAUGGUUAUUCCAGGCUGGAGGCCACUUUUUAAUGUGUUAAACAGAUAAUUCAUAAAAAAAAACAAAAAAAAAAAACGAGAUACUGCAGCUUUUCCCAGGGAUCUGGAAUGCCUCUCCAGAACACAGACAGGGAUAGUGAUUAAAAUCUUUUGGCUGAUCAGUGCAUUCCCAUUGAAAAUGAUAAGUGCUGAGCACAUGCUUUUGACAACAGAUGCAUGCAUGAGACAUAUGUGCACCAAAAGUCGCAUGUGCGCGAAAUUUGUUUUCAAAGGAAAAUAUAUAACUUCUGUGAAUACCUGUGAGUUCACACAUAGAUCACAUGGAAUUAAAAGUUUAAAGCCAAGAUAGCUAGCUAUAAACAUUAAACUUAAAUUUAUCCAGUUGUACUAUUUUGGUUUAAAAUUUCCUGUUAAAUUCUGUACAAUCCAUGAUUUAGUGAAUAUGCUUUUAUUAAACAGUUCUUGAUUUCAGGGUUUUGGAUUUAAUCAGUUCAUAGUAAACAAAAAAUAAAUAUCAAAAUAUACUCGAACACUACUGAUAUUAAGCUAUAACCACUUAAAUAUGCUGUUUAGUACAUAAACCCCUGUGUUCUGUUCCUACCUAAUGAAGCCUAAUUGGUUUUUUUCUUCUCCGCAUCAGGGCACAUAAGCCAGGAAAACUUACCCUAAAACUUUGGUAUCAUUUAUGCUGUCCAUAUAAUUGGUGUAUUCCUUCAAUAUACAUGUCUGGGAGGUGAGAAAUAAGAGAGCAGACAUGAAAACGGGGAGGAAGGCCAAGACCCGUUUCCUGGAGCAUAAAAAUAACAUUAAGAAGGGGAUACAAAAUCAUUCUGUCCCGGUUCAUUGUAACCAGUGCCCACACUUUAAUCAUCUUUCGUGGGUGGUUAUUGAGCAAGUAUCACUUGGUGUGAGGGGAGGAGAUCUUGUUAUGAAACUUAGACAGAGGGAGGGAUUCUGGAUCCAUAAACUGAGAACCCUUCAACCACUAGGGCUAAACAUGGAUUUUGAUCUAAUUUGUUUUCUUUGCUUUUUGAUUUCUGGGAUUUUUAUUGGUAUCUUUAUUCAUAUUUUUUAGCAUUUUUAUUUUUUAUAUGUAUAUUUUUUGUUUUUUUACAUGCAUUUUCCACAUUUUUCUCAAUAGUUUGUGGUUUCCAGAACCGUUCCCUAUGAUUAGAGUGGGACGCAAGAGGAAUAUACUUUUUUUUUAUAUAUUACUUUCAAGGGAUUGUUCAUUUUGUAAUUUGGUUCUUUGUAUAGAAUAUAGUAACAUCUCUAUUCUCUAUUUUGUAACAUUUGAGAUGAAUGUAUUCAUAUGACGUUUUUUUCAUUAUGUAAUUUUGGGUCUCUUUUAUCUUCAUUACUCUCUUUAUGCCGUCCGACGAAGUUGAUGGAGUGGAACGCAUGUGCGUUCCAGCCGCGGGCUGAUGACGUCUUGAAAGGCAGACAGUUUCCAGAACGGUGGAACGCAUAUGCGUUCCACGAAGAUUCGGCGGAAGACCAUAUAUGGAUAGAGACUCGAGUGAAUGAUCGCUGACAGGUGAUUGCAGCUACACUGAUUGGCGGAAUAGAUGCCGAACACGACGACAGGGACAUUUAAAAGGAACUUUGGACAUAGAGUUUAUAUUAGCACUUUACUUGUCUGUGAUAUUUGUUUUUAUAAUUUGUCUUCUCCUGAUAAAGUCUACAUAGUAGACGAAACGAGUUGAGCCGUUUUAAUUACUGCCUGUGAUUUCUGUAAACCAUCUCUACUGCACACCACCUUGGAUAGAGGGAUACAGAGAUUUAUUGAUGGGCGUUUUUAAUUCUUACUUUUUGUAAGUGGAUUCAAUUAAACCGUGUCAUUUUAUACUUCAAAACUUUGCUGUACUAUGUCCAGUUCUUCUUUUUUUGCAUGCACCCUUGGGAAUUGAGAACUUCCACUGCAAAGACUUCAAAAGAGAUAUUGAUGGGCUUGAAAAUUCAUAUAUUCUGUGAGUGCAAUAUUAGGGGUUACCUUGCUUAAUGGUGCUUC
rnacentral:lncRNA from 1 species